AUACUUACCUGGCAGGGAGAUGCCAUGAUCACGAAUGUGGUCUUCCCAGGGCAUGGCUUAUCCAUUGCACUCUGUGUGUGCUGACCCCUGCGAUUUCCCCAAAUGCAGGAAACUCGACUGCAGAAUUUGUGGUAGUGGGGGACUGUAUUUGUGCUCUUCCCUG
rnacentral:snRNA from 1 species